GAUCUUCCUUUUACGUUUGGGUUUUUAAGAACCCUGAAGAGCUAGAAGAGAUGUUUCAUGCGUCACCGCGGAGAGGGGAAAAGCGUCUUUCUGUAGAUAUUAUGACGUUAUGGACAAAUUUCGCAAAAACUGGAAAUCCGAAUUUGCCAGAAGACCUCGGGCUUGACUGGAUUCCAUACACCUUGAAACAUAAACAUUAUCUGCAGAUAUCACGUGACAUGACAUCAUCAAAUGUGAAACAACGCUGGAACACGCGAAGAGCAAAUUUCUGGGCAAAUCUUUUGCCACAAAUGAUAAAAUCGGCUAGGUGUGAAGGAUCUAAAUAUGACGAACGUCAAAAUCAAGGAACGUGCCAAAAGGAUCAAAACUGUUCACCUUAAAUAAUAUUUUUGGGACGUUAACGCAGAGUAAUGGACAACAAAAUAGAAUCUAUCAGGUUGGCUAUAUUGACAAUGAUAAAACGGUGUGUAGGCCUAACUAUGAUGACAAUUCAAAUUUACAAAAAUAGCCGGUGAAAAUUUAAGCAUGUUCUACUCAAAUACAGAAAACUGUACAUAUAAUAACGUUAUCCGUGAUUUUUCGAUAAUAAUAAUUCCUUCUUAUCAGUGUCAAAAUUAUUCGUAAUUAGAAAUAAUGUUGUUGAAUUGAUAUAUAAUCGCAUCUAGUAUCAAAAUUGUCAUAUCAUAACUUCUGAGGCAAGGGACCCCGUUUUCAAUAAUGAAAAUGUUAUACGAUAGUGCACUCGAGUAAAUAAGGGUAAAAAAAUGUGUAUUAUCUACAUCAAAACUAGGUGCGUUCGUCAGGUGCAACGGCCAUACGGGGAAACGUUUAAACAUACUUGAUCAUGCUGAAUUUAACUCUCUUUAUGUAGCAGAUGCCAGUUUUUGGGCUUGUCUACAUUUAAUUCAGGAGAAAUCACAUAAACACAGAAACUCGAAAAGAAUACGUAUAGUAAUUAUGUAUAGAUGCAACAUGAUCCCUUUAUGUAAUAUGCCGAUAAUGAUAAUUGCAUAUCUAUGAGAAAAUGUUUUGCAUUUGUUAGGUGUGUGUGUUCGGGUUUAACGUCUUUCUCAACAAUUUUUCAGUCAUAUGAACGACGGUGUCUAUUUGUAGCAGUGAGCAUAAUGCCCAACUUUAUAGUGCUGCCUCACUGGAAUAUCACGCCGUAGACACCUGACAUGAUACCCCACCCAGUCACAUUAUACUGACACUGGGCAUUGUGUAUAAUACGAAAUUAAAGAGAAAGACAA